rfam:Gonapodya prolifera JEL478 unplaced genomic scaffold M427scaffold_64, whole genome shotgun sequence.
AUACUUACCUGUUGGACGCAUUCGGGUGAUCAGGAAGGCCCGGUGUGGUGGGUGGGCGAUUGGCAUUGCACCAACGUCUGGUUGUCUGCCUGCGGAACGGCCUUCGGGUCGUCUCCUCCGAAUAAUUUUUGAUAUGGAUGGCGCACGCUGUCCCGAU